rnacentral:misc_RNA from 1 species
UCAUUGAAAAAGACGUUACCUUUUCAAUAUCAACCAAACUGUCCACACUGCUUCUAAGUAAAUUAUUUCCCCCCCGUAUUUGUAACUCGCUAUGAAUUGCAAUUACUUUCCUGCCACAAGUUGAUGACAUCAGUAGCCUGAUUGAGAAGGAUAUGCANUUUGCUUCCGGGAUAUCCAGGGCUUGCUUUCAAGCAACAUUUUAAGCUGCUCCCAGGCAUCCUCCUUGGGCCAGAAGUAGUAGGGACUCAAAGGAAUUGUGCCAAAGCCUGGUAUCACUUGGUCUAGAGCAACACCAAUUGCCUUAUGCAUCCAAAUCAACUUCAAUACUAUCCUCGGUUUCUCCAUUGGCUUCACCACCACUCCAAGCCUCUCUUUAUCUGUGGGUGUUUCUCCUUCAGAGAGAAUUGGGUCAGCUGCUGAAGCCGAAAGUUUGUGUUUUACAGUACUCUGAAUAAGUUUGAGACUGGAAGCCGAACUAAUGUGCAACAAAGAGGAUUUGGGUUUAAGAGAAACGAUUGGGGCUUUAACGAGGUUUUGUGAAGUGAAAUUUGCGGGUUUUAGAGAGGGAUUGAUUUUGGGUUGAAUUGCCAUGAAUGCUG